UUUCCUUCGCAUUUUUGGAUGUCUCCAAAUCAUCUGGCCACACUAAUGAAAGGAGAAGAAUCUUGCUUGCCUGAAAGCACAACCUACCCCCAAUGAGAGCUGUCAGAUAACAGUUCUCAGGAACAUUUCUCUCCAAGAGUUUGCUAAAGGAAAUACUCCGUGCUCAGGAUUAGAAUUGCACAGUUUAGAAGCUGAUAGCCGAGAUGAAGGAAUAAGCUGCCUUUUGGAGCUGAGGCAGUAAAGCCCAAGGCUUCAGGAACAGGCCCAGUGCCCAGGCACUUGAGGGGAAAAUGCAUCAUCUGCCUUCUGGCAGACCCCUCCUGCAACCUGCAGCUUUUAGGCAUUUACAGCAGAGCUCUCCAGUCUGGACUGGCUUCCACUGCAAGAUCUAAAUGGCUUCUCCUUUCUUUGCUGCUGUUUUGUUUCUAGGGGUUUUGGAGAGGUUUCCAGAGCACUUGACAUUGCAACAGGAGGAGAGGUGGCCAUAAAGAAAAUAAAUGUGCAAGGAGUGAGUAGGAAGAUACUAACCAUGAAUGAAAUCAGGAUCAUGGAGAGCAAUAGGAGUCCCAGGAUCGUGAAUUACUUAGCCAGCUACCUUGUGCAUGAGGAACUCUGGCUGGUGAUGGAGUACAUGGACGGAGGCACUCUGAGAGAUCUCAUCGAUGAGAUUCAAAUGUCUGAAGGAGAGAUUGCAGCUGUCAGUCGGGAGGUCAGGGAUCCCAUCUGUGCUUCCAAGGCCUUGAGCUGCAUUGUCUGGGAAACAGGGGCUCAGAACGGGAGGGAUUCAUGG